CCUACACACCAGCAGCCCCCGGCUCCAUCUCCACCUCUCUGCAAACAUCGGGGCCACCUCAUCCAUUCCUCCAUGGGCUGGCCUUUCCCAGCCUCGUUUCAAAGAAAGCCGCAGGGCAAAGGCACCUGCCUUAUUCCAACCAGGGUACUUUGUGAGGAGCCAAGGAUGCCUGGAUUGUGAGAUUUGGACGUCUUGGUGCACAAGGUACAGUUUCUGUCUGAAUCUGUUGGAAAAGGGAAACUGAUCUGCAAGUGAUCAGACUGGGAAAAGAAACAUCAGCUGAAACCAAUGGAUGCUCAUUGGAGUCUUCUAGCUGCAAAGCGGUUGCAAUCGGAGACUUAAAUGGGAUUAAAACCUCUGGCGAGGAAGAAGCAGAAGCAUCCGAGACCAUAAAGAAGAAAAGAGAGGAGCAGCAUCUGAGACCAUAAAGAAGAAAAGAAGAAAGAGAGGAGCAGCAUCUGAGACCAUAAAGAAGAAAAGAGAGGAGCAGCAUCUGAGACCAUAAAGAAGAAAAGAAGAAAGAGAGGAGCAGCAUCUGAGACCAUAAAGAAGAAAAGAGAGGAGCAGCAGUCCUUCGGCCUCCCAGCACUGCCAAGCCGAAGCUCGGUUUGCUUCUUGUCUUUUAUUAUUCUUAUCAUUGUUAGUAUUAUUGGUAUUCUUAUUGGAAGGAUGCGCCCGCAUCUCGGCAGCUUUCUGAGGGAUCAGGGCGAAACCAUGCACUAAGACAACGGGAUGAAGGAGGCGCUGGGACCCGGCUCAAGACUCAAAGCAGCAGCAGCCAAGGGGGGAUUCCCUCAUCUCUGGAUAAUUUUCGGUUUCGCCUUAUAUUCCUUGAUUCCACAGAAAGAAAAUUCUGAAAGU
rnacentral:lncRNA from 11 species